CGAAGGAUCCAAGCGUUAUCCGGAUUCAUUGGGUUUAAAGGGAGCGUAGGCGGGUUUAUAAGUCAGUGGUGAAAGCCGAUCGCUUAACGAUCGAACUGCCAUUGAUACUGUAGACCUAGAGUACAGAUGAUGUUGGCGGAAUAUGACAUGUAGCGGUGAAAUGCAUAGAUAUGUCAUAGAACACCGAUUGCGAAGGCAGCUGACAAAACUGUAACUGACGCUGAGGCUCGAAAGUGCGGGGAUCAAACAGGAUUAGAUACCCUGGUAGUCCGCACAGUAAACGAUGAUAACUAGUUGUUUGCGAUAUACAGUAAGCGACCAAGCGAAAGCGAUAAGUUAUCCACCUGGGGAGUACGCUCGCAAGAGUG
rnacentral:rRNA from 1 species